rnacentral:rRNA from 1 species
AGAAUCUUUCGCAAUGCCCGAAAGGGUGACGAAGCGACGCCGCGUGUGGGAAGAAGGCCUUCGGGUUGUAAACCACUGUCGGGAGUUAGGAAAUGUAAGGGUGUUAAUAGUAUCCUUACUUGACUAAGGCUCCGGAGGAAGCCACGGCUAACUCUGUGCCAGCAGCCGCGGUAAUACAGAGGCGGCAAGCGUUGUUCGGAAUUAUUGGGCGUAAAGAGCACGUAGGCGGCCUUGUAAGUCAGUUGUGAAAGCCUUCUGCUUAACGGAAGAACAGCAGCUGAUACUGCAAGGCUAGAGUGCGGAAGGGGAGAGUGGAACUUCUGGUGGAGCGGUGAAAUGCGUAGAUAUCAGAAGGAACACCGGCGGCGAAGGCGACUCUCUGGUCCGUAACUGACGCUGAGUGUGCGAAAGCUAGGGGAGCAAACGGGAUUAGAUACCCCGGUAGUCCUAGCCGUAAACGAUGGGCACUAAGUAGAGGGGUUUUGAUUAUCUCUCUGCCGGAGCUAACGCAUUAAGUGCCCCGCCUGGGGAGUACGGCCGCAAGGCUAAAACUCAAAAGAAUUGACGGGGGCUCGCACAAGCGGUGGAGCAUGUGGCUUAAUUCGAUGCAACGCGAAGAACCUUACCGGGGUUUGACAUGGUAGAAGUAGGAGCCUGAAAGGGUGACGAACGGUAUCCAGUCCGUGACUAUCACAGGUGUUGCAUGGCUG